GCCAGGCAUGGAAUGGUAGACGCAAGGGACUUAAAAUCCCUCGGUCGCAAGACCGUGCUGGUUCAAGUCCAGUCUUGGGCGCCA
rnacentral:tRNA from 1 species